AUGAACGCUAGCGACAGGCUUAACACAUGCAAGUCGAGGGGUAACAGGGUAGCAAUACCGCUGACGACCGGCGCACGGGUGAGUAACGCGUAUGCAACCUGCCUAUAACUGGGGAAUAGCUCCCUGAAAGGGGAAUUAACACCGCAUAACACUAUUGAUUCGCAUGGAUUGGUAGUUAAAUGUAGCGAUACAGGUUAUAGAUGGGCAUGCGUGACAUUAGCUAGUUGGUGAGGUAACGGCUCACCAAGGCUACGAUGUCUAGGGGUUCUGAGAGGAAGGUCCCCCACACUGGUACUGAGACACGGACCAGACUCCUACGGGAGGCAGCAGUGAGGAAUAUUGGUCAAUGGGCGCAAGCCUGAACCAGCCAUGUCGCGUGCAGGAAGACUGCCCUAUGGGUUGUAAACUGCUUUUAUAGUAGAAGAAACACAUCUACGCGUAGAUGUCUGCCAGUAUACUAUGAAUAAGCAUCGGCUAACUCCGUGCCAGCCGCUGC
rnacentral:rRNA from 1 species